UACAGAGGUCUCAAGCGUUGUUCGGAUUCAUUGGGCGUAAAGGGCGCGUAGGCGGCGGGGUAAGUCUGGUGUGAAAUCUCGGAGCUCAACUCCGAAACUGCAUUCGAUACUGCAGUGCUUGAGGACUGGAGAGGAGACUGGAAUUCAUGGUGUAGCAGUGAAAUGCGUAGAGAUCAUGAGGAAGACCAGUGGCGAAGGCGGGUCUCUGGACAGUUCCUGACACUGAGACACGAAGGCCAGGGGAGCAAACGGG
rnacentral:rRNA from 1 species